rnacentral:tRNA from 1 species
GCGCCCGUAGCUCAGUUGGAAUAGAGCAUCUGGCUACGAACCAGAAGGCCGGAGGUUCAAAUCCUUCCGGGCGCA